GAUCUUCAUGUCCCAUUCGUGUGCUCCGGUAUCACUGAUUGAACCUGUGUGUACCGACCUUCGUCCGUUCUCUGACCAACCUUAAGUGUGCUUUUAGAUCUGGACCAAACCAUCUUUUACUUCCUCUGGGGCUCCAAGUGGGAAAGACUCAGGAGGGAGGUUGUCAAGAAGAAGAAGAAAAAGGAGGAAAAGGAAGGAGAUACAGCGAGCUCGGUCCGUGGCUUGCAGUCGGCGAGUCCGCAACAGUUGAGCACUACGUAAACCAUCCUGCACUCCCAAACAGACUUUGGGACCUGUCAUGGUUUGCUGCCCAUGUAGUCCUCCCACUCAGGACCGUUCCCAACAUGCCCCGACCAGGGUUGUGGUGCCCCUGAGUCGGUAAGCCAUCUCUUCUGGGAGUGCAGUGGUGCCGUAGACCUGCGGGCGACAGCCGACCACCUGCAAUUCCCGGACUUACCGGCAAGGGGGGUCCUCAACGAGUAGUUUGUGCUCUAUGGGGUGAGCCAGUCGAGGUUUACAAAGGAGGGGUUCGAGAGGCACUGGCUCACCGUUGCUGCCAUCAAAGACGCCAUUUGGACCUCCAGAAACUUGCUGGUAAGGAGGUACAGAGAGUCCCCCCCGCCCCAUCCCGUGUCUCUGCUCCAGAUGGCUGCCGCCACCAUCAAGGCUCCACGCGGCAGGCCACGACACAGCCGCAAAGUCGUCUGUGCCUCACGCGGAGGAGGGAACCGGAGCUUCACGAUGGAGGUUCAGUGGCCUUGUGAUAUGGGAGAAGAAGGAGUGAAAGAAGAGAAGAAUGUCGGCGACCGUUGCUGGGCAAUUGGUAGCUUCCUGGAUUGUGCUGUUUGAGAGUGUGUGUGAUGAGUUUCACUUAGUAAAGGAUCAUUCCAUGUCUGCACAGUGGAAAACAUUGAUCUUUUUUUCAGUACUAUAUUUAUUGUCUUAUUUAUUCUUUUA